rnacentral:tRNA from 1 species
GGCUAUGUAGCUCAGCUGGUUAGAGCACCGCACUCAUAAUGCGGGGGUCGGUGGUUCAAGUCCACCCAUAGCCACCA